GGUGAAAUGUGCAGGGUUGCAUAAAUUUCUAAUCAUCACGUGCCAGACGCCGACGACGAAUCAUCCGAAUCGUAUCGGGGGCGUCGAUGGAGAAGCUUGGCCAGCCAAGUCGCCGCAGCGAGAUAGCGAAACGAACGAACCCAAACGCAUUCACGCUUCGAGUCAGCCGCCUUAUCGACGAGAGAGAGAGCGAAAGAAAACGAGGAAGCAAAAUGUGCGUCACGCACCAGCACCAUUUUUUCGCAUCGGGGUGCGUUUUGAGCAAGGUCAGGACUGGUGGUCAAUCGGACACCAUCAACGGGCAUGGUCUGAAUUAGUGGUCAGUCGUCAGUAGCAAUCACAGUUCUAAAAACCGUGGGAUGCGUAUGAGAUUCGACCGCGUUGCUGCUCUUGCGGUGACACCGCCGCCGGAGAGGAGAGUGAGAAGAAAGACGCGCGUAAGCGAACAAAAGGGAGAGAGCCGGUCGCUCUCACGCACUGCGUGCCUCGCCGGCAUCGUCGAGAGAGGGUGGGAUACAAAAAGUCGCGUUGGGUAACGAACGGCGGAUCAAGCCGGCAAAAAAAAACACGCAUUCUGAAUGGAAAGGGUGCUUUUCAUUACAUAAUCCCUUUGAAUAGGUAGAUGACGAUGGAUAGAAUCGAAAUUAAGCUGGGAAGGGGUCAGACUAUUUUGACCACAGUCAAAUGCUUCCGGUCGGUCAAACUCGAACACUGGACGAAUGAAACGUUGCCACUCCUAAUGCCCUAAUCGUGCAUUGGAAUGGGACGAAUGGUGCGUUUAAGAUAGGGUGCGUUCGUUUGUAUGCCCAUUGAAAUUCAUUCGGGAACGACGACGACGCGACGUGACGGGCUGUGACGAUUGAUGACGAGAGCGAACGAGCUUGAACGAUUUUGUGCGAAUCUAGCUCAAGGUCGCAUACCGCAAGCGAACGCGAGCUAGACGGCGGCCGCGUUGCAAACGCAUACACGCAUUGUGCGUUUAGUAGAUAAGCGAGAGGAAAAAAAUCGCACAUCCACAAGCACCAGCCAUCGAAGCGAGAAGAAAAAAAAUGUAAACAUUAUUAAAAUAUUAGCCGAGCUGCCUUGUACGCACAGGCAAAAGGAAGGAUGAAUAAAAUAAAACCCGCGACUUGCCAAUUUUUUUUUCGCGAACAUUGUGCGAAAAUUAAAGAGACCCGAAUGUGAGUAUGCGUUUUUUCGGUUUUCUCCAUUCCGAGGUGCGUGCGUCUGCGUGUGCCAUGACGAAAUCGAUGCGCCGCGCCGAGAACGAAAGCGAGAGUGGUGGCUUUUUGGCACUCUAAACAAAGCAGGCGUGCGUUUCGCACUCUUCCACGCAUCCAUUCCGAUCGAGGGGGAAGCGAAUGCCUAGACAAAAAAAAAAAUGACCCGACGCACCGCGGCGCGGCGGGUAUUGAAUCACCGAUCUUCGCAGCGUGACCAACCGGCGAAAGAUGCGAAGGAGCAAGAAACCAGAAAUGCUCACGCAUUAUCGCUGUUGUGCGUCUACUGUUGCACGUUUGCUUCGACUCUCUCUCUAUCUCUCACUCUGCGUUUUUUUUUCUGGGUCGGGUGCGUCUGGGCUUCGCGAAAUAAAUCGCGAACCUGCGCGUGCGACCCCCGCGCUCUCUCGCGUCGCGCACCCCUUCUGUUCCAUAUUACGGUUGCGGGGUGCGUUAACGCAGCGUGGCCUCGAAAUUCGCGCAGAAAGUAGGUCACGAUGCGUGUAUUGGUCGUUCGCUUGGUUCGGUCGAUUGCUGGUCGUUCGACCGGCGGACGGCGAGGAUUAGACAAGGGAAAGAAGCAGAAAUGUGCGUUUUUUUUUUGCGAAUGCGAAUGCGUGCGGUCGUCCGAAUUUUUUUGGCGGGGAGACCUUGUGUAUGCGUGAGUCGCUUCUUUUUGGUGGCAGUUGUUGGGAUUUCGCACAGUUGUUGCAGGUUGGGUCCGUUGAAAGUGAAAACCGGCCCCGCAGUGUUUGCAGUUACGGUGCUCCGAGUAGGUCUCGCGGAGUCGUCCAGAUGCGGUUCAAGAACUCGGCUCUAGAUAGAUGCGUGCGAGCGGAGUGUUUGUGCGUUGGUGGCGGCGCGGUCAGCUCGGGUGACACAGUUGACCUAGUUUUGGUGGACGCGUUAUCUAUGGGGGGAUUGUUAACAAGUGCGAAACUCGUGCAUCCAACUGCGCCUCAACCACCGCCACCAAAACAGGACUACAAAUCCUCUCAGGAACCAGCCGGAACUUGACACACGCACGUUUUCGAACCCUCCGAACUAUUCCGAUUCCCGACCAGCUCUUUAUGCUAAGCUACACACUAUUCUCGACACUAGCAACUGGUGGACUCCAUCACCAUCCGUAGUGUACGACGUCGUCCCGUGAAACCGCGUAAGAGGAGAGUGUUUGAGCUCUAGUUUGAGUGUGGAAACCGCUGCUGCUGUUGCCUCUAUUGAUGUUGCUGGCUGGCUUGCUGGCUGGCUGCUGAUGAUGAACAACGCGUUUGCUAUGCUGCCUCUGCUGCUGCUCUACCGCCACACGUACCUACUGUGAACUCAUCGCCGCGGCGCGGUGUGCUACUACUCUCCUCUGCUGCCCUAUUUAGGCUGGGCGGGUGGACGACCACGGAUGACGCGGACGCGGGUAGUAGUGCCAACAGGAGAGAAGGAAAAACGGGAUACGCGCCAGCAUACACACGCCUCUAUCGAGGGGAAGAAGAAGAACGUACAUCGCGCGGGUAAGAAGAUUUCCGCACGUUGAUUCGCGAGGUUCGCAAAAAUUAAUUACCUUCCGCCGCUCUUUCGCCGCAACCAAAACUGAUGAUGGAAGAAGCCACGGUGACGUUGCGCGCUAUCCCUCCGCUUCAGGUAGACCCCCAGUGCGUCCCCGUCCCCCGUUCCCAAAAAUGAUUGAUGUUUCGUGAUGUGCUUUCUUUUAGGUGGACUGGGAAGUUUUUUGACCUGACUGACGACCACGUCAGAUGAUGGAGGAUCUAAUCGGAAACGAUGCGAUGCAAUUGCUGGCCCCUGGGGGAAAGGUCAACUGUAGUUACGAAAGGUCCCUUAUUAACCUGAGAAUGCUCCCACUCUUCCCUGCAAUGCCCUACGACCGCUGGCAAUGCAAUAUGAUAUCGCGUUGCACCGCGAUGGCCCUCGCCGCUAAUCACACACAGCGUGCACACACGCCCAAGUGCAAUCCGAGAAGCAGGAGAAGUAGAACUGAUAGCGUCGUAUGUAGGUACUCUUAUCACCUUAUGGUUGGCCUCGCGCGCGCGCCCGCCUCGACUCGCGGAAAGCUUGGAAAGUUUUGUUUUCAGCAGCAGCAACGCGCGGACGUUGCGUUGUUUGAUUACAAACACACGUACCUAGUAGUGAGUAGGUAUCAUCACAUCAAUCCGAGUCAGAGAGUCCUCGCGCCGUUCGACAACAACGCAACCCUCCUGUAGGUGACCGCGACGAUGCGACACCCUUGUCGUGUGAGCGAGCAAGGGGACGGACGCACCAGCCCUUAUUGUGUGGCCCUUGGUGGACGCGACGACCCCGCGAAACUAGUUUCGCAUCCUGUCGCGUUUUUUUGUGUGUUCUGAAAUUCGCCGCGUUCUACCCUAACCAUGUGAAUGGACUGGAUUGGGCUGGACUGGACUGGACUGGUGGAUGCUGCGAUUUAAAAGGGCCGGUAGCGAACAGGUUCAUCCCAGCUGAUUCCCGGCGGACGAAUUGGGAAAUGAUGUUGGAGGAAACGAAUUCCUGGAAUUUGGGAUGAUGAAAUCAGUGCGUUGUUGGAGUAAAACGAUCCGCUCAAAUGUCUCCUUGCCACAGCGCAGAAAAUUGGAACCCUUCAAAUGUCUUUUGAUUCCUCCGAGCGAUAGCUAAGAACGUCGAGUAAACGCCGUGAUGUAUGCAGCACUCAAACCAUUUAAUUAGUUGGCGUGUUACGUAUUUCUAAACCGAGUCAUUUCUUAGAGGGGGCGCACUGUCCCGACCACCUCAUUGAAUCGCUGCAGUCGCGGCCGGCGAUGCACACGAGCCGCCACCACAAAGGUAGCAAUUUUACCUCUUCUUGUGAGCUUGUUCUCGUGGAUUCUGAUUUACUUUUUUUCUCUCGUUUUAGGAAUGCAUUUCGGGCCUUCGGCCCCGAUCAAGAUCAAGGACUCACUCAUGGGAUGAAGGUUGAAGUAUGGACGUGUGGGAGGUUGAGUCGGAAGGCCGCGCAUCUUCCGUCCGGGCCAGACCGGACCGAACGACGGAAACACGUGUUUUUCGCGGCUUUCGUGGAGAAGCUUCUUCGGCCGCCGGUUUGCAAAAUGGGAAAUACAUGUAUGAAAGAGCGAUGGGAUAUGGGAAGAGGAAGCCAAGAGCAAGACCAAGACGGCGCGGCGGUCUCGUCGCGCUGCCGCGCCGCGCUACGGGAUGAUGAUGGUGUAUAAGUGCAGUGUAUGUAUUAAUGCACUUUUUUCGCAUUCCACGACGACGGACGGCGAACUGCAGCAGCAGCAAUGAAUGGUUGUCUCGUUCUAGCCGGAACGAGCUCGGGUCGGUCAUCGCCAGCCAUACACACGCAAAGAGGCAGUAGUUCUCCUCGGUGGAUCGCAGAAGGCGAUGACGAAGGCUACGACGGCGACGAUCGGCUCCGGUUGCACUUUUCACGGUUGAUUCGAUUGCCGGCGUGCGCGAGGGGUGGCCGCGCUGCCGAAGGAACUUCGAGGAACUGCGAGAAAGAGCAAGUAUCAAUACGGCGACGACGGCAGCCGCAGAGUGCGAGGAAAAAACAAAAUGGUGGACAAUUUGCGGUCUGGUUCGGUGCAAGGAAUGUUGCUGCUGCCGGGAAGGAACCCGGGAACUGCAAUCGAUGCGGAAACAGUGGCUCCCGGAUGAGCUUCUGGGGGUUAAAGUUAAAGUCACGGACCGGGUCGGGCUAAUCCAAUUAGAUUGCAUGGGAGGGUUGCACUCACACAUAGCUAGAGGCAGACGAAAGUCUCGGCCCGACACGGGUUCCCCUUGGUAACAGAGAUCCAAAAUUGACAAACCUGUAUGGGGAGGUAAAUGCUAGAUA